UUCCUACGGGGGGCAGCAGUAGGGAAUCUUUCACAAUGGGCGAAAGCCUGAUGGAGCAACGCCGCGUGCAGGAUGAAGGCCUUCGGGUUGUAAACUGCUUUUAUAAGCGAGAAAUAUGAUGGUAACUUAUGAAUAAGCACCGGCUAACUACGUGCCAGCAGCCGCGGUAAUACGUAGGGUGCAAGCGUUAUCCGGAUUUAUUGGGCGUAAAGGGCUCGUAGGCGGUUCGUCGCGUCCGGUGUGAAAGUCCAUCGCUUAACGGUGGAUCCGCGCCGGGUACGGGCGGGCUUGAGUGCGGUAGGGGG
rnacentral:rRNA from 1 species